rnacentral:rRNA from 1 species
UCCCCUAGUAACUGCGAGUGAAGCGGGAAAAGCUCAAAUUUAAAAUCUGGUGGCCUUUGGCCAUCCGAAUUGUAAUUUAGAGAAGCGUCUUCCGCGCUGGACCGUGCACAAGUCUCCUGGAAUGGAGCGUCAUAGAGGGUGAGAAUCCCGUCUUUGGCACGGAUGCCCAGUGCUUCUGUGAUGCGCUCUCGACGAGUCGAGUUGUUUGGGAAUGCAGCUCAAAAUGGGUGGUGAACUCCAUCUAAAGCUAAAUAUUGGCGAGAGACCGAUAGCGAACAAGUACCGUGAGGGAAAGAUGAAAAGCACUUUGGAAAGAGAGUGAAACAGUACGUGAAAUUGUUGAAAGGGAAACGCUUGAAGUCAGUCGCGUCGACCGAGACUCAGCCUUGCCUUGGCUUGGUGUGCUUCUUGGCUCGACGGGUCAGCAUCAAUUUUGAUCCUCGGAUAAUGGCAAGGGAAAGGUAGCACCUUUUUAGGUGUGUUAUAGUCCUCUGUCGCAUGUGAGGGUCGGGAUUGAGGAACUCAGCAUGCACCUCCGGGUGUCGGGGCCUUGGCCCACGUUACAUGCUUAGGAUGCUGGCAUAAUGGCUUUAAACGACCCGUCUUGAAACACGGACCAAGGAGUCUAACAUACCCGCGAGUGUUCGGGUGGAAAACCCGUGCGCGCAAUGAAAGUAAAAGUUGGGACCUCUGUCGUGGA